rnacentral:rRNA from 1 species
AUUGAACGCUGGCGGCAUGCCUUACACAUGCAAGUCGAACGGUAACGGGCCUUCGGGUGCCGACGAGUGGCGAACGGGUGAGUAAUGUAUCGGAACGUACCUUUCAGUGGGGGAUAACGUAGCGAAAGUUACGCUAAUACCGCAUAUUCUGUGCGCAGGAAAGCAGGGGAUCGCAAGACCUUGCGCUGAUUGAGCGGCCGAUAUCAGAUUAGCUAGUUGGUGAGGUAAAGGCUCACCAAGGCGACGAUCUGUAGCGGGUCUGAGAGGAUGAUCCGCCACACUGGAACUGGGACACGGUCCAGACUCCUACGGGAGGCAGCAGUGGGGAAUUUUGGACAAUGGGGGCAACCCUGAUCCAGCCAUGCCGCGUGAGUGAAGAAGGCCUUCGGGUUGUAAAGCUCUUUCGGCCGGGAAGAAAUCGCACGGGCUAAUACCCUGUGUGGAUGACGGUACCGGAAUAAGAGGCACCGGCUAACUACGUGCCAGCCGCCGCCGUAAGAC